rnacentral:rRNA from 1 species
GAUGAACGCUGGCGGAAUGCUUUACACAUGCAAGUCGAACGGCAGCACGGACUUCGGUCUGGUGGCGAGUGGCGAACGGGUGAGUAAUGUAUCGGAACGUGCCCAGUCGUGGGGGAUAACGUAGUGAAAAUUACGCUAAUACCGCAUACGAUCUAUGGAUGAAAGCGGGGGAUCGCAAGACCUCGCGCGAUUGGAGCGGCCGAUAUCAGAGUAGGUAGUUGGUGGGGUAAAGGCCCACCAAGCCAACGAUCUGUAGCUGGUCUUAGAGGACGACCAGCCACACUGGAACUGAGACACGGUCCAGACUCCUACGGGAGGCAGCAGUGGGGAAUUUUGGACAAUGGGCGAAAGCAUGAUCCAGCCAUUCCGCGUGCAGGAUGAAGGCCCUCGGGUUGUAAACUGCUUUUGUACAGAACGAAAAGGUUUCUACUAAUACUAGGAGCUCAUGACGGUACUGUAAGAAUAAGCACCGGCUAACUACGUGCCAGCCGCCGCGGUAA